GACGAACGCUGGCGGCGUGCUUAACACAUGCAAGUCGAACGGAAAGGCCCUGCUUUUGUGGGGUGCUCGAGUGGCGAACGGGUGAGUAACACGUGAGUAACCUGCCCUUGACUUUGGGAUAACUUCAGGAAACUGGGGCUAAUACCGGAUAGGAGCUCCUGCUGCAUGGUGGGGGUUGGAAAGUUUCGGCGGUUGGGGAUGGACUCGCGGCUUAUCAGCUUGUUGGUGGGGUAGUGGCUUACCAAGGCUUUGACGGGUAGCCGGCCUGAGAGGGUGACCGGCCAAAUUGGGAAUGGGAUACGGCCCAGACUCCUACGGGAGGCAGCGGUGGGGAAUAUUGCACAAGGGGCGGAAGCCUGAUGCAGCAACGCCGGGGGGGGGAUGACGGCCUUCGGGUUGUAAACCGCUUUCGCCUGUGACGAAGCGUGGGUGACGGUAAUGGGUAAAGAAGCACCGGCUAACUACGG
rnacentral:rRNA from 1 species